rnacentral:pre_miRNA from 1 species
CAGUUACUCUCUCCGUUCGGAAUUACUUGUCUCGAAAAUGGAUGUAUCUAGAAUUAAAAGGCGUCUAGAUACAUUCAUUUUUGCGACAAGUAAUUCCGAACGGAGGGAGUACAUG